rnacentral:ncRNA from 2 species
GCUCUCAUUGAUCGCGCCGGUGCCCCGAAAGGGGCUUAAUCGGGAAUGCGGUGCGGGGCUUGCCUCCAAAUCCGCGGCUGUCCCUGCAACUGUAAGCGGAUAGCGCGAUGCACAUCGCUCCUCGUUGAAGGAGCAGCCACUGGGCCGGACGCUAAAUCAUGCGAGGCCUGGGAAGGCGCGCAUCAAGCUUUGACCCGCGAGCCAGGAGACCUGCCGGCGUCUGGUCGCUCUU